rnacentral:rRNA from 1 species
AGAGAGUAACUUGUUACUUUGCUGUCGAGCGGCGGACGGGUGAGUAAUGCUUGGGAAACUGCCCAGUCGAGGGGGACAACCAUUGGAAACGAUGGCUAAUACCGCAUACGCCACUCCUGUUAAAGGGAUGGCUCUUCGGACCUCUCGCUUCUUGAUUAGCCCAAGUUAGAUUAGCUAGUUGGUGAGGUAAAGGCUCACCAAGGCAACGAUCUAUAGCUGGUUUGAGAGGAUGAUCAGCCACACUGGAACUGAGACACGGUCCAGACUCCUACGGGAGGCAGCAGUGGGGAAUAUUGCACAAUGGGGGGAACCCUGAUGCAGCCAUGCCGCGUGUGUGAAGAAGGCCUUCGGGUUGUAAAGCACUUUCAGUUGUGAGGAAAGGAAGUUGGUUAAUACCCAGUUUCUGUGACGUUAGCAACAGAAGAAGCACCGGCUAACUCCGUGCCAGCAGCCGCGGUAAUACGGAGGGUGCGAGCGUUAAUCGGAAUUACUGGGCGUAAUGCGCACGCAGGCGGUUUGUUAAGCUAGAUGUGAAAGCCCUGGGCUCAACCUAGGAAUAGCAUUUAGAACUGGCAGGCUAGAGUCUUGGAGAGGGGAGUGGAAUUCCAGGUGUAGCGGUGAAAUGCGUAGAUAUCUGGAGGAACAUCAGUGGCGAAGGCGACUCCCUGGCCAAAGACUGACGCUCAUGUGCGAAAGUGUGGGUAGCGAACAGGAUUAGAUACCCUGGUAGUCCACACCGAUGCCGUAAACGAUGUCAACUAGCCGUUGGAAGACUUGAUCUUUUAGUGGCGCAGCUAACGCAAUAAGUUGACCGCCUGGGGAGUACGGCCGCAAGGUUAAAACUCAAAUGAAUUGACGGGGGCCCGCACAAGCGGUGGAGCAUGUGGUUUAAUUCGACGCAACGCGAAGAACCUUACCUACUCUUGACAUCCUCAGAACUUAGCAGAGAUGCUUUGGUGCCUUCGGGCACUCUGGGACAGGUGCUGCAUGGCUGUCGUCAGCUCGUGUUGUGAAAUGUUGGGAUAAGUCCCGUAACGAGCGCAACCCUUGUCCUUAUUUGCCAGCACGUAAUGGUGGGAACUCUAAGGAGACUGCCGGUGAUAAACCGGAGGAAGGUGGGGACGACGUCAAGUCAUCAUGGCCCUUACGAGUAGGGCUACACACGUGCUACAAUGGUUGGUACAGAGGGCAGCGACCUUGCGAGAGUGAGCGAAUCCCAGAAAGCCAAUCGUAGUCCGGAUCGGAGUCUGCAACUCGACUCCGUGAAGUCGGAAUCGCUAGUAAUCGUGGAUCAGAAUGCCACGGUGAAUACGUUCCCGGGCCUUGUACACACCGCCCGUCACACCAUGGGAGUGGAUUGCACCAGAAGUAGAUAGCUUA